ACUGCAUCUGAAAUGGAUAUGUUGGAGAGGUUGGGAUGUAAGGAGCUAGAUAUUCAUGUAUCCUGCCAGACUGUGUAGACUGUUGGGUGUGGUUGUCUGGAUGGAUCAAGCCAAGGAGAUCUCUUGACAACUUAUAAUAAUAGCAGGACCAUCCUUCAUCUCCAUGCUGGCCCCUGAACAGGAAACAGAAAAUGAAGAACGGCUCCCAGUGAGUGUGAUUUUCUACCUUCCUGACCCAGUGCUGAGGCGGGAGAAGGCUCAUCCUUCAUGCUGCUUCCUCUGUGCCAGAAGGCGGCACUCACCUCAGGGCACCAUGCAUCUUUCACCUGGACGGAGUCCUGGAUCUGACGAGAGUCAGAGCUCAUUUUGUUAAUCUUCCAAAUCCUAUCAGAGAUCAACCCCUGGCAGAGGUCUGAAUCUGAACACGAAAGGAAAUACAGGAGACAAGAGAGAGUGUACACGCAUUAACCAUUUCCUCUCAACGAGGCAUCACGCCAAAUACUUCUCAUGUGUCAUCGUAUAUAACCUUCAAACACCCUCAGAAGCAGGGUCUGGAAGGUGACUUAAUCAACACACUGAAAACAAUUAAGUGACUUGCGCCAGGUCACCUCUACCCUAAGUUUCUCACCCCAACAUCAUGAUCUCCACGUUUCAGGAUGCUGCUUCCUGUACAGGCUCUAGAAAAGGGGUAUUCAGCCUGUGCCUCUCUCUGACCAUGCCACCGGGAAAUGUUCCACAUGAAACCGUGCCACCUGGCUGCUGCUGUCCAUGGGCCUGCCUGGCAUGAGCCUGCAGAUUACAGAAGAGGGAAUGAGGGCAGGCACUUAUGUUUUCCAAGCACAUCCUUUGUGACAGGUUUUGUACUGUCUUUUACAUACAGGAUUUCAUU